rnacentral:rRNA from 1 species
AUUGAACGCUGGCGGCAUGCCUUACACAUGCAAGUCGAACGGUAACAGGUCUUCGGAUGCUGACGAGUGGCGAACGGGUGAGUAAUACAUCGGAACGUGCCCGAGAGUGGGGGAUAACGAGGCGAAAGCUUUGCUAAUACCGCAUACGAUCUCAGGAUGAAAGCAGGGGACCGCAAGGCCUUGCGCUCACGGAGCGGCCGAUGGCAGAUUAGGUAGUUGGUGGGAUAAAAGCUUACCAAGCCGACGAUCUGUAGCUGGUCUGAGAGGACGACCGGCCACACUGGGACGGGGACACGGCCCAGACUCCUACGGGAGGCAGCAGUGGGGAAUUUUGGACAAUGGGCGCAAGCCUGAUCCAGCCAUGCCGCGUGCAGGAUGAAGGCCUUCGGGUUGUAAACUGCUUUUGUACGGAACGAAAAGACUCUGGUUAAUACCUGGGGUCCAUGACGGUACCGUAAGAAUAAGCACCGGCUAACUACGUGCCAGCCGCCGCCGUAACAC